GACGAACGCUGGCGGCGUGCUUAACACAUGCAAGUCGAACGGAAAGGCCCUGCUUUUGUGGGGUGCUCGAGUGGCGAACGGGUGAGUAACACGUGAGUAACCUGCCCUUGACUUUGGGAUAACUUCAGGAAACUGGGGCUAAUACCGGAUAGGAGCUCCUGCUGCAUGGUGGGGGUUGGAAAGUUUCGGCGGUUGGGGAUGGACUCGCGGCUUAUCAGCUUGUUGGUGGGGUAGUGGCUUACCAAGGCUUUGACGGUUAGCCGGCCUGAGAGGGUGACCGGCCACAUUGGGACUGAGAUACGGCCCAGACUCCUACGGGAGGCAGCAGUGGGGAAUAUUGCACAAUGGGCGGAAGCCUGAUGCAGCAACGCCGCGUGCGGGAUGACGGCCUUCGGGUUGUAAACCGCUUUCGCCUGUGACGAAGCGUGAGUGACGGUAAUGGGUAAAGAAGCACCGGCUAACUACGUG
rnacentral:rRNA from 1 species